CCGGAGUACUAUGAAUAUUUAAACAUUUAAAACUUAAAGAACUUGGCGGUGUUUUAGACCACUUAGGGGAACCUGUCUCGUAAUCGACAAUCCGCGUUAAACCUGACCUUUUCUUGUUAUCAGUUUGUAUACCGUUGUCGUCAGGUAACUUUUUAGAAAUUAGAAGUUAGCGAUAAAAGCAAUUUAAUGACUUAGGACGUCAAAUCAAGGUGCAGCUAACGAAAAGGGGAGGAUGGGUUACAAUUAUUUGAUUUAUAAUAACGGACGAACAACAUGAAUAUGUUUCAAAUUAUAAGGUGGACUUGAAAGUAAAUUAGAUUAUAUAGAUAGUUUGAAUAAGGCUCUGAAACGUGU
rnacentral:rRNA from 1 species